rnacentral:rRNA from 1 species
ACGGCUCAGUAACACGUGGAUAACGUGCCCUUUAAGUGGAGCAUAAUCUCGGGAAAUUGAGGAUAAUACUCCAUAGAUCAUGGGAUCUGGAAUGACCCAUGGUUCAAAGUUCCGGCGCUUAAGGAUCGGUCUGCGGCCUAUCAGGUAGUAGUGGGUUUAACAUACCUACUAGCCUACGACGGGUAUGGGCCUUGAGAGAGGGAGCCCAGAGUUGGAUUCUGAGACACGAAUCCAGGCCCUACGGGGCGCAGCAGUCGCGAAAACUUCACAAUGGGGGCAACCCCGAUGAGGGAAUUCCUAGUGCUAGCACAUUUGUGUUAGCUUUUCUUCAGCAUAGAACACUGGAGGAAUAAGGGCUGGGUAAGACGGGUGCCAGCCGCCGCGGUAAUACCUGCAGCCCAAGUGGUGGUCGAUUUUAUUGAGUCUAAAACGUUCGUAGCCGGUUCGGUAAAUCUUUGGGUAAAUCGGGGGGCUUAACUUUCCGACUUCCGAGGAGACUGCCGAACUUGGGACCGGGAGAGGCAAGAGGUACUUCUGGGGUAGGGGUAAAAUCCUGUAAUCCUAGAAGGACCACCGGUGGCGAAGGCGUCUUGCUAGAACGGAUCCGACGGUGAGGGACGAAGCCCUGGGUCGCAAACGGGAUUAGAUACCCCGGUCGUCCAGGGUGUAAACGCUGCAGACUUGGUGUUGGAGGCCCUUUGGGGGCAUUCAGUGCCGGAGAGAAGUUGUUAAGUCUGCUACUUGGGGAGUACGUCCGCAAGGAUGAAACUUAAAGGAAUUGGCGGGGGAGCAC